AUCACUUCUAGGCAUUUUUGGCUAAGAUCAAGUGCAGUAUCUGUUCUUAUCGGUUUAAAAACAGUUUUAGAGAUUUAUUGGAUACUAUCAAACAACCCAAC
ensembl:snRNA U2 U2 spliceosomal RNA